AUUGUGAAGUGAGGUCGGAUACUUGCAAGGAAAAUAAGAUUUUGGCCGAAAUCCUCGUCAGUAUCGGUGUGAUGUGAUAAUUGUUGAUUUUUGUGUUGAACCCAGAGGCCGUGGACGACAAUGUUUGUAAUUUCAUGGGUGGAAGUCCGUUUCUGUUACCAGCAUGGAGCCCCUAACGUGAGACUGAGAGAAAAAAGUACCACGCUGUGUACAGCAUGGCACAUGGGCUGGUGAUCUCUGAGUCUGGAGUGUUCUCUACAAGUGUGGCAAAUCACCUCUAUCUACAUCAGGAUGCUGAGACAACACUACCAGCCGCUUGAUGAGAAAAAUAGUGGCUGCUGUAAUUUCCAUACACCCAGAUAUAAAUAUCCAGACAGAGCAAAACUAUUGGUAAUUGCAGGACAUCCAGCUUACUGAGUUACUCAGGUCUGUUCUUAGUAACCUUGUAACUGUCCAGCCUCUUGGAAACCCAGACUUCGGGGACUGUGCCUCUGGCUCAGUGGGGGCUGGUCCAGUUAAGUUAGUUUGGUUUGCUCGAUGUCAAGGCCACAAGUAAUGUAUCAUUCCUUAAACGUUUAAGCUCAAGUUCCUGGAAACUAAACCAAAUGAAUGGGGGAAUUUUGACCAACUUUUCAUGUUCAUAGCACAUUCUUCAGGAGCCCCUCCUUUCCUUCAUCAUCUUUAUGUAUUUACAUCUGAAGGGACUAUCCUAAAGAUCAAUAAAUAAAUAGAUAUCUUAAUCAGUCUAAUUCUGCAUUGGUGCGUCCUUCCUUUGGUGGCAACAUUUAUUUGGCAGCUCUUUCCGCUUUGUCGUGGUUUUGGUCUGUAAAUGAAUGAAGUAGAAAUAAAUCAAUUGCAAUUAAAUCGAAUAAUAAUGGACUGUUUGAAUAUAGCUACUCUGUCCGUAUUCAAAGACAUAGUAAAGCUCUUCCCGAAACACUUGAAUUGUACCCAUCGUUCAUCGGUCCUAAGCGCUGUUUUAGUGGUCAUAGAUCUCGUGAGGCAUGGUUAAUCCCUCCCGGUAGAGGCUUUUUACGUCAUCUUUGAACUGGUCAAAGUUUGAAGAAAAUAAGCCACAUAAAUGAGGACAUUGUAAGCAGCUUUUCCUGUUGUUUGUAGCUCCCUCCAUGUCCUUUAUCACUUCUAGUUGCUGUUCAGUUUGAAGACAAACCAAUAGAUUGCUGAAGCUCUCAUUUAUGAGCAAUCGUAUUAAGCAAUACUGAAAAAGUUCCGUUGUAUGGAUAAGGUUUGGGCUGUUAAAAAAGGUUCCACUGCAAGUAGCAAAUGUUGUUCUUUCUGAUGAGUGACUUCGGAUCAACACAGUACUUAAAUGAUGAAUUCUGUGGUGAAGAAAAAAAAAUAUUGGAAUAUGAAAGUUCAAUUAGUACACUGAAAAAUGGCUGUAAUGAGAAGCUUAAACGUUGAAAUAUUUACAUAUAACAUCACAAGCAGUAUUACUAAUGCAAUAGAUGACAGUAAAUGCAGUGUAUAAUGUGUCGAUUUUUGCAGACGUGAAAGAUAAUGAACUGGUUGGUCAAUCUCUCUGUACUCCUUUUUCAUCAGUGCACCCACUCCCCUGUGCAUGUCUGUUGUAAAGCAACGGACCUCCCUGUCAUUCUAGUUCUGGGUCCGUCAAGAAGGUGAGGCAACGAUCAAGGCCUUCCUUCUCCAUGGACUGUGAUGUUCCUGUUUCAGACACCUUGAUAAGUUCCAUGACUAGAAUCAGGCCAGUCAUUUCUUCCAUAAGUGUGUAUGACAUGUACUUUGCGUUGAGUCUUGGACUGUCACACAUGCCAUCGCCGAUUACAUAUACAGGUUCACCCCUACACAAGUCCAGUGCCAUGUUUUGUUGUUAUGUUCGUUGAAUGCUACGAAUAUUCUGUUCCAAGGGACCACUGUCUUGAACGGAGAGACUCUACUAAUGCUACUCAACAGAACGUUGAGUAGCAUUAGACCCUCUUCUCUGUAUUUAGACAGCAGAGUUGUGACGCCACAAGUCCCUCAGACUUGCAAUGUAUUUCUAUGCCCAGCUUCCGACAUCUGCCUGUCUUGCAUAAGGUGGUAUUCAAUGAACACCAUAGCAGGUGCAAUGCAACUGAGGUGAGGCAAAUGUUUGCUAUCUUUGUUGUAUCAAGGUCAGGCUUCUUUUUUUUUCCAUGCAUGUUUCUGGAUACCAGUUCUGGUCUUCUGGUCCCGAGAACAUCAGCUUCGUGCUUUGAGUGGCGAAAUGUGUUCUGUUUCUGGAAUGUCCAAUGUUAAAGUUGAAAUCGAAGGAUGUGUUGGCCGAUGAUGAAUUACUGGUAGCGUUUUGAAGAGGAUUCGGUGGUGGAACCGGUAGCAGUGGACUCAGUCUAUUAGGAAGUGCAGGGUCUUCACUGCAGCUGCUACAGUAGUAUAUACACAAUGGAAAACAAUUUAGAACUGCAUCUUAACUUUGAAAUACAAUUUAGAACUACUGCAAGAGCACAGUCUGCACAAUGGCACGUUGACCCUUCCGUAAGACAUUUCAAUAGAUGUGGGCGCAUUCUGGGCACAUAAAACGUUACAUGCCUGGGAUCUGUUGCUGAAGCUAAACAUGUAAUUCAUGUAAUAGCUUGUCUGGAGAACUAGGUAGCUGAACAAGUCUGACUGUUCCACAGGCGUCAAAAAUUGCGGGUCCAAGUGCUCACUUGGAACAAAUACUUUCUCAAUAUACUGCUGCUUUACAUGACUUUCCAAAGACAGCAUACUUGGACAGCACUGGUACAUCAUUGGUAUGGGGAAGGGCAACAUCUUGAUAGCUGGGGACUAAGCACCUAAAGCACAGGAAGUUUCAUUAGAAUGGCAGACUAAACAUCACUUUAUACAGUAUUAAUGCUAAAAAAUAUUUCACAUACAUGUGGGGCUCAGAAGGCAAAAGCUGAACUGUAAAUGUUCUGUUAAGUAUCACUGUUGUUACUAUUCUUAGAAUUAAAAAAAAAAAAUUAUAUUUCUUUGCAAUGAUUUAUUGAAGACAACACAUCUUCGUUCCAACGUUCUUUCGAUGAAUCAUAACAUAAAAGCAUGGAGUACACGGUGUUCCCAGUGUGAAUGUCUUUCUGCCUUUCUUUCCUUGUGCUGGUAGAUCGUGUCUUGACAAGUUCAUAUAUACGGAGAUGCGAAAAGACCUUCUUUGUACAAAGCCUCCCAGCCGUGCACUCAUUAGUUGAGGCACUUAAGUGUCUGCCACAUUCUCCUUUGCAGACACAAUCGAUGAUACAAUCUGCAGUUCGUCCUGUUCCUGCCCAAUACAAAUCUUAGUAUUACUGACAAAUUCCUGUUGAUAUACUCAAUCAUGGCGCCUAUAUCUUAAUUGUCAUAAAAUACCAAGCCUUUACAUCUCCCUUUUGUCCUUGAAAAAUUGUUGGAAUGUAUCAAAACACGACAGCUUCCCUGUUUGGAUAGUUUCAAGCUAACACUUUUUCUUACCUAUCCUGCUGCCAAGUAUGGCCUGGGCUUUAGUGUAUGGGUAUCACAUAAAACAGUGUGUAUGACCCCGUUCACAGCUGAUAAACAAUUGCACCAUGCUUUCAUACAAUAACAUGGGUUUAGGGCCAUACCUCGUUUACAUGUUAAUUAGAGAACUACCAGUACUUGUAGCGAACUGAACAUACAUAAGAAGAGUAUUAUUAACUUUUUUUAGAAUAUGUAUCCAAGCCAGAUGGCGUAUGUGUGAAAGUGCAGCUGACCAUUAGCUUGUUGCUGCCUGCUGUUUAUCCACGUUGCAACUCGGAACCUUAAAACAACAGCUGCUACUGCUAGAUUAUACAACUGCAGUUCUUCCUGUUCCUGCUCUGUACAAACCUUAGUUUGUACAAAUUCCUGCCGAUAUACUCGAUCAUGGUGUCUGUAUCUGAAUUGCCAUAAAAUACCCAGCCUAUACACUUCCCUUUCGUUCUUGAAGAACUGUCGGAAUGUUUCAAAACAUGACAGUUCUCCUACUUGGAUGGUUUCAAGCUUAGUAUUACUGACAAAUUCCUGUUGAUAUACUAAUCAUGGUGUCUGUAUAUAAAUUGUCAUCAGAGCCUUA